UACGGAGGGGGCGAGCGUUAUUCGGAAUUACUGGGCGUAAAGCGCGCGCAGGUGGCGUGGCAAGUGGCGGGUGAAAGCCCUCGGCUCAACCGAGGAAUUGCCUGCCAAACUACCGCGCUUGAGGCCGGGAGGGGGAAGUGGAAUUCCUGGUGUAGCGGUGAAAUGCGUAGAUACCAGGAGGAACACCGGUGGCGAAGGCGGCUUCCUGGACCGGUUCUGACACUCAUGCGCGAAAGCGUGGGGAGCAAACAGG
rnacentral:rRNA from 1 species